rnacentral:sRNA from 1 species
AAUAAAACUCCAGCGAGAUCCGGGCCGUGAACGAAAGCAGUGACGGAGGAGCUUGUACCACCGGUAACUAAAUGACCAUGGAAUCUGGAGCCGAGAACCAGCAGAGUGGAGAUGCAGCUGUAACAGAAGCUGAAAACCAACAAAUGACAGUUCAAGCCCAGCCACAGAUUGCCACAUUAGCCCAGGUAUCUAUGCCAGCAGCUCAUGCAACAUCAUCUGCUCCCACCGUAACUCUAGUACAGCUGCCCAAUGGGCAGACAGUUCAAGUCCAUGGAGUCAUUCAGGCGGCCCAGCCAUCAGUUAUUCAGUCUCCACAAGUCCAAACAGUUCAGAUUUCAACUAUUGCAGAAAGUGAAGAUUCACAGGAGUCAGUGGAUAGUGUAACUGAUUCCCAAAAGCGAAGGGAAAUUCUUUCAAGGAGGCCUUCCUACAGGUAUGGAAUUUAAUAGUUAGAAUCAAAGAUGUGGAGGAAGUCUUAGGUAGUUGCAGAUAAAGAGAUGUCAGAAGACCAGUUAGUUGUUCACGUCAGUUCCUUAUAGAUUACUUUUCUUCAUCUUGAGUUAUUUGUCUCAAAUAAAGU